rnacentral:rRNA from 1 species
UAGGGAAUCUUCCACAAUGGGCGAAAGCCUGAUGGAGCAACGCCUCGUGUGUGAUGAAGGGUUUCGGCUCGUAAAACACUGUUGUAAGAGAAGAAUGACAUUAGAGUAACUGUUCAAUGUGUGACGGUAUCUUACCAGAAAGGAACGGCUAAAUACGUUCCAGCAGCCGCGGUAAUACGUAUGUUCCAAGCGUUAUCCGGAUUUAUUGGGCGUAAAGCGAGCGCAGACGGUUAUUUAAGUCUGAAGUGAAAGCCCUCAGCUCAACUAAGGAAUGGCGUUGGAAACUGGAUGACUUGAGUGCAGUAGAGGAAAGAGGAACUCCAUGUGUAGCGGUGAAAUGCGUAGAUAUAUGGAAGAGCACCAGUGGCGAAGGCGGCUUUCUGGACUGUAACUGACGUUGAGGCUCGAAAGUGUGGGUAGCAAACAGG